rnacentral:rRNA from 1 species
UCUUUUCCUUGUGUGCCAGCAGCCGCGGUAAUACGUAGGUGGCGAGCGUUGUCCGGAAUUAUUGGGCGUAAAGAGCCUGUAGGCGGCUUAAUAAGUCGAGCGUGAAAAUGCGGGGCUCAACCCCGUAUGGCGCUGGAAACUGUUAGGCUUGAGUGCAGGAGAGGAAAGGGGAAUUCCCAGUGUAGCGGUGAAAUGCGUAGAUAUUGGGAGGAACACCAGUGGCGAAGGCGCCUUUCUGGACUGUGUCUGACGCUGAGAUGCGAAAGCCAGGGUAGCGAACGGG